GAUAAAGGCUUAGUUGAGUUGACUCCAGAAAUGCAUUAUAUUCAAUUUAUUCAAAAUCUAGUGCUCUAUGAAAUUCCCAAUAAAAUCAAAUGCCAUGUUUCUCAAAAGAAAAAAAAAUCACAUGCCAUGGAUACAUCUGGAAACACUUAGAAAAAAAAAAGUAGAAAAAGAUUACAAAAUCUUACAAAAAAUGAGAGUGAAACCCUGUAGAAAGAUGUACAAAAGCAAAUAAUCAAAUGAGGAACCACUCAGUAGCACAAGUAGAAAUCAGGAGAAACAACAUUAUUUGAAACAUAUUUACCCAGUAGCAAGUCAAUAGAAAAAUAUAGACGACACAUGAUAUUGAAAUUUAAAUAGAAUGAGCUCAGAAGACAAGCAUAGAAAGUUUAUUUCACAGAGAGACCCUACGUGAGAGUUCUUACAUCGUAAGAGCUCAUCACAGCAAAGGAUCCCAAUAAUAUUCACCCACAUUACCAAUAAUAUUCACCCACAUUUGACUUAGGAAAUCCAUUUAUUUGAAAUAUACAAUCUAACGUUUUAUACAAAGUUUCAUUAUAAUAGAUUAAAUAGAUAUAUUUAAAAACAUGUUGUUUCAAUACUGAAAAGCACGAGGAAACAGCAAGUGAUUUUGUCACACAAAAGUACGCAUUCAUUUGCCAGCUGAAUGAGAGAGAAUUCAUGUCUAUAAAAUCAAAUAACCAAAUCCAUUUGAAGAAUUUACCGAACAUUCAUAACUUUUCAAUCACCUAAAUAAUCAAGGCACCGUAAAAUGAUAAUCCAGGAAAGAACACUUAAAUAAAAACAAAUGAGAUUAGCAAAUACAACUAAAUUACCUGGUUUUCCACAGCCUUGGUCAUUCGGCGGAACUCCUUCUUCAUGACAGACUUGUGAAGCAAAGCCGCAGGUUUGUUUUGUUUCUUUGUCUUAGUUGUAGCAAGAACCACAGAUUGGUCUUUUCCUGGCUGAAUGCUGACUGUUUUCUUAUUUGCCAACCCUAUUUAACCCACAUCAAAAUCAUCAUCUAAAUUCCCCAUUGUCACACACCAAUAAAGAAACACAAGCCAAAGUAUCAUAGAAACGAAAGGAAGUUUCUUUUGCUCGUAUCACCAUGAAAACAAAGCAAGGACAACCCACCUUCCCCGAUUCUUAUGGGAUCACAGUAGACUAAAGAGGAGCAAUCUAGCAAAAUGAAGAAAGCAUGAGAUGAGUACCAGAGUGCUUGAAGGAGUUGAGAUUGUAGAGAUUGUUAGACUCCUUGCUAAACUGAACGCUUGCGGAUCCUCUGCCGAACUGUUUCACCAAAAAUGAGUUGUUCUUCUUCACUAUCUCCCAUAUCAACUGACCAGGUACCGUCGCCAUCGCUAUCCUCCUUUCCUGCUUGGGCUCUUUAGCUUGGUGGCCACAAGUGUUG
rnacentral:misc_RNA from 1 species